rnacentral:tRNA from 1 species
GGAGAGGUGGCAGAGUGGUUUAUUGUGUCGGUCUUGAAAACCGAAGUGCCUGCAACGGUACCGUGGGUUCGAAUCCCUCCCUCUCCGCCA